UCAUCUCAUCAGGAAGAAGAGAUGGCUUAAAGAAGUGCGGGAGCUUCUUUCGUGCAUCUGCUCCAGGAUGGGACUGCGUCCGAUCAGGCUGUUGGCGGGGUAAUGGCCCACCAAACCAGUAACCGGUACGGGCCUUGAGAGAGGGGGCCCGGAGAUGGACACUGAGAGAAGGGUCCAGGUCCUACGGGGCGCAGCAGGCGCGAAACCUUCGCAAUGCGCGAAAGCGUGACGAGGUUAAUCCGA
rnacentral:rRNA from 1 species